rnacentral:tRNA from 1 species
GUUAGCGUGGCAGAGCCCGGUAAUUGCAUAAAACUUAAAACUUUAUAACCAGAGGUUCAAAUCCUCUCUCUAACA